rnacentral:lncRNA from 1 species
GUCUCACUGACUUCAAGAAUGAACCUGUGGACCCUCACGCCCCCACCCUGCAUCCUGUAAGGAUAAGAUGCUUGGAGCAGUAGCUACCACCUUGCAGCUGGAGGAGAACGCCAGGAGAAUUUUAGAGUGCCACCUCAUACUGAGAUUCUCCUUCCUCCAACUUCUUAUUAUAGGAGGGCCAUAUGGGAGGAACUGUGGGUCAUCUCAAGGACCUGAAGGGGACCUCCAGCUGAAAGCCAGUAAGAAGUUGGGGCCUCAGUCAUACAGCUGCAAGGAAAUGAAUUUUUCCAACAACCUGGAUGAGCUUGGAAACAGAUUCUACCCCAGUCAAGUACUCAGGUUUCUACAGCAAUGUUAUCUUGAAUGGUUUGUCAACAUGUUUCACUGAGAAAACUUAAAGCAACUCUGGUAAUUACAAGUGGAACCUUGUUACAAGUGGAACCUUGACAACUUCAGAAGUGACCAUCACAACCAAACAUUCCCUGCUCUGAAUCACCUGACAUUCACUGUCUCAUUCACACCAGCUUCUUCAGGUGGCCCUUGAUGAUCUGCCUGCCUCCACAGAGGCUCAGAAAAUUAGCCUUUUCUUUUUUUCUAGAUUUCACUCUUCAUGAUGGAUGUGAAAGACAGUAAAGUAUGCUAGUUAAAACCCAGCCUCUGGAGACAGACUGAUGUGGGAUCCUAGAAAAGUCGUCUGCACAGAGCAGGGCAUGGCCUGCAUUCCAAAUUUUGUUAUUCUCAAAGGUCAGUUGUUCUCAGUGGCAGACAACAGAAGCCAAGACUUGCUAAGUAAAACAGAAGACAAAUUUGCUGGAAGGACAUGUGAAAAUGGGCACAAAUUAGGAAGCAAGGUCAUACUUGCAUCACUGCUGUUAGGCUGCUACCACUGACUCCUCUGCUCCUGCACUCCCAAAAGCACCAUCAAGAAAAACCCCACACACAGUUCCUUCAUCUUUGCCUUACUUGCUGAAGAUUAGAAGUCCCAGGGAAUCCAACCUUAUUUUAUCUUUGAAAAUAUCCUGAAGUGCCAAAUAAACCAACAGUCUGAAGCGGGGGAAGACUCUAGCCCCAGCAAUACCUGCGACUACUAAUGAAAAAGACUUGACGGACUGAAACUGCCCGAGAUUUCUCACAUAAUGUCAUCAUUACGUGGAUGUGCUUCAGUGCUCUGAAAUAAUGGCACUUUAAUCUCAAGUCCACCUGCCACCAUCUGAAAAGGGGGGAAAAAAGCCAAAGAUAUAAAAUACUGAAGAAAGGAUACUGGAUGGCAUGCAGAAUCUUUGGAAGAACAACCAGAUUGCCAGGCAACACAGCUAGAAAAGUGCCCCAAAUCUCACCACAGAACAGAUUUAAUGAAAAUCGCACUUCUGCACUGCUGGGCCAUUAUUACUAUGACCACCGAGAAUGCUGCCUCUAAAGAGUGGAUGGACCUGCUCUCACUGCCCUGCUGCUUCCUGUC